rnacentral:rRNA from 1 species
CCUACGGGGUGCAGCAGUGGGGAAUAUUGGACAAUGGGCGAAAGCCUGAUCCAGCCAUGCCGCGUGUGUGAAGAAGGCCUUCGGGUUGUAAAGCACUUUCAGUGGGGAAGAAAGCCUUGGGGCUAAUACCCUCGAGGAAGGACAUCACCCACAGAAGAAGCACCGGCUAACUCCGUGCCAGCAGCCGCGGUAAUACGGAGGGUGCGAGCGUUAAUCGGAAUUACUGGGCGUAAAGCGCGCGUAGGCGGUCUGAUAAGCCGGUUGUGAAAGCCCCGGACUCAACCUGGGAACGGCAUCCGGAACUGUCAGGCUAGAGUGCAGGAGAGGAAGGUAGAAUUCCCGGUGUAGCGGUGAAAUGCGUAGAGAUCGGGAGGAAUACCAGUGGCGAAGGCGGCCUUCUGGACUGACACUGACGCUGAGGUGCGAAAGCGUGGGUAGCAAACAGGAUUAGAUACCCCAGUAGUC